UUUAUUACAAUAAUGAUCAGAGAGAGCUGGAGCGACAGAUCAGGAAAUAUCAUCUUCAUAUUCACGAUGAGAUCUCAGUGAAGAAAGGAGAGGAUCUGAAGUUGGAUGUUGUGUUGAUCAACGCUGAUAAAGUGGAGAGAAACUCUCGCUCCGGCUGGACAGAGGUGUGGAGGAGAGGUCACGGGGUCAGAGGUCACGGGGUCAGCAGUGAUCGACUGACCGUCAGUGACCAGACUCUGAUCAUUCAUGACUUUACAGUCACUGACACUGGAACAUACAGAGCUCUGGACUCUAAUAAUGAAGCCUUGAUCACAGUCACAGUCACAGAAUCUGUUCUAGACUCGAAGGGAAAUCUGAGCGACACUGAA